rnacentral:rRNA from 1 species
UGAGCCCGCGGCCUAUCAGCUCGUUGGUGGGGUAACGGCCCACCAAGGCGACGACGGGUAGCUGGCGUGAGAGCGUGGCCAGCCACACUGGGACUGAGACACGGCCCAGACUCCUACGGGAGGCAGCAGUGGGAAUCUUGGGCAAUGGGCGAAAGCCUGACCCAGCGACGCCGCGUGUGGGAUGAAGGCCCUCGGGUUGUAAACCCCUUUCACCGGGGACGAAGCCGCAAGGUGACGGUACCCGCAGAAGAAGCCCCGGCCAACUACGUGCCAGCAGCCGCGGUAAGACUUACGGGGCGAGCGUUGUCCCGAUUUAUUGUGCGUAAAGCGCGGCCGCGCAGGCGGUUCGGAAAGUCGGAUGUGAAAAUCCGGGGCUCAACCCCGGACCUGCACCCGAUACUCCCGGACUGGAGGCAGGUAGGGGAGAGCGGAAUUCCCGGUGUAGCGGUGAAAUGCGCAGAUAUCGGGAAGAACACCGGUGGCGAAGGCGGCUCUCUGAGCCUGUCCUGACGCUCAGGCGCGAAAGCUAGGGGAGCGAACAGGAUUAGAUACCCUGGUAGUCCUAGCCGUAAACGAUGGGUGCUAGGUGUGGGGCGGCGAUCGACCCGUUCCGUGCCGUAGCCAACGCAUUAAGCACCCCGCCUGGGGAGUACGGCCGCAAGGCUAAAACUCAAAGGAGUUGACGGGGGCCCGCACAAGCGGCGGAGCAUGUGGCUUAAUUCGAUGCGACGCGUAGAACCUUACCUGGGCUUGACAUGC